rnacentral:rRNA from 1 species
UACGUAGGGGGCUAGCGUUGUCCGGAAUCAUUGGGCGUAAAGCGCGCGUAGGCGGCCCAGUAAGUCCGUUGUAAAAGUCAAAGGCUCAACCUUUGAAAGCCGAUGGAUACUGCUGGGCUAGAGUCCGGAAGAGGCGAGUGGAAUUCCUGGUGUAGCGGUGAAAUGCGCAGAUAUCAGGAGGAACACCGAUGGCGAAGGCAGGUCUCUGGGCCACUACUGACGCUGAGAAGCGAAAGCAUGGGGAGCGAACAGG